GUGUGCAAAAUCACGCAUACAAAUUGAGCAAUGGCAACAUUGAUGACAUGCAAACAAACGAGCACAGCUGAAUUUUACGUUGCCACUACGGGCAUAACUUUUGACAAAUUUUGUUUAAUACGCAUGCUUUUUGCUGAAUAUAUCAAUUACGGAUAAAUCUGGCAUUCGCAAUGAAAUCGAAACUGUCAAAGCAACCACUUAAGUACACACACAAAUUCAAAUGGUAUGUACCAUAUAUCCUCCACCAAUUCCGGCAAUUUCGUUUAUUUCACAAGUAUGUUCAUUUGCCGAACGAAUAAAUAUUUAGGUGUCACUUACCCGAUAACUUCACAGUUUAAUUUGCCAACACGAAAGGAUUGAUUUAUUUCUACCUGUGAAGAGGUAAACCGCAACGCCUGAGUACUUGCAAGCACGAAAUUCGAUAUCAACAAAUAAAAUCGAACUGUGUCGCAACAGUAGCAAGGAGUACGCAUUUAAUUGAACAAAUGAAGAGUGAAAAUUACGGUCGAGUCGUUGCUUCCGCUACACCGCGUGCAAAAGUGUGUAAUUGAUAUUUCGGUGCAGGUAUUGCGUGCGGCGAGGUACAAAUGGUUGUAGUUACAUAUGAAGUAUAGCUUUGUUGAAACAACUAAGCAAACGAAAAUUUCCUGAAAGUGUUUUGGUUUUUUCUGUUUCUAGAGUAACUAAGGUUUUUGUGCGCAGUAGAGUUCCAUGUGAUUGAGGCACCCCGCUGCCUGCUUUUCUAAACUGUUGUACACUGUUUACAUGGGAAUUAAUGUGUUUAUGACAAUCAACUUACACAGCAGCAUAGCAGCAGAGUGUGUAUCAUGAAGUAUGCUCCAAAAUGGGUAAAACCUUUGAGAGUCUUAUCAGUAAUAAUAUACUAUGAGACUUAACGGCUCUCAAGUGAUUUGAAUUUGAAAAACGCGCCGAGAUUAGUACGUAAUUUAGAGUUUUUUUUUUUACAGAUAACCGAACAAUUUUAUUUGAAUAUACAAAAAGCCGAUACUUAUCUUACGCUUUAUUGGUAUGUAACUUCAGUUGGAAACAAGUUCUUCAGCCAUAAACAUAUCGAUGCGACCAAUAUCUUGAGUUUGGCGUUAAGGCGUGUGCCAGUAGAUGCAGGAUUAUGAAUACAAUUUUUUACGUUUGAGUCUACGAUUUCGAAACUACAGAAUGGUGUGCAUACUUUUGAAGCAUCGUAACCAAAAAUGAUAAGCAUACCCAAGACAAGAGUUUUGUUAGAUUUUCGUAAUAUGAGUAUUUUUAUCAUUGUUAAUCUGAAACUACUAAAAUAAAUUGAGUGUAAUGAACUUUGACCAGCCAAUGAACUAUUAAAAUGAGUAGCGUUUAUGUUGAAAAUGUGAAUAGUAGGUCUCAUCGACUUCCCCGCAAAAAGAUAAUAAUUUUAAUAAAUGUUUUAGAAAUCACUUA